rnacentral:rRNA from 1 species
GACGAACGCUGGCGGCGUGCUUAACACAUGCAAGUCGAACGGAAAGGCCCUGCUCUUGUGGGGUGCUCGAGUGGCGAGCGGGUGAGUAACACGUGAGUAUCCUCCCCUUGUCUUUGGGAUAACUUCAGGGAACUGGGGCUAAUACCGGAUAGGAUCUCCUGCUGCAUGGUGGUGGUUGGAGAGUUUCGGCGGUUGGGGAUGUACUGGCGGCUUAUCAGCUUGUUGGUGGGGUAGUGGCUUACCAGGGCUUUGACGGGUAGCCGGCCUGAGAGGGUUAACGGCGACAAAAGGACUGAGGGACGGAGCAGAAGCCAACGGGAGGCAGCAGGGGGGAACAUUACAGAACGGGCGGAAGCGAGAGGCAGAAACCUCGGGUGCGGAAAGCCGGCUUACGGGUGGAAAACAGAUUUGGCCUGAGACGAGGAGUGAGUGACGGUACUGGGUAAAGAAGCACCGGCUAACUACGUG